rnacentral:rRNA from 1 species
GAGUUUGAUCGUGGCUCAGGAUGAACGCUGGCGGCGUGCCUAAUACAUGCAAGUCGAGCGAACAGACGGGGAGCUUGCUCCCCUGACGUUAGCGGCGGACGGGUGAGUAACACGUGGGUAACCUACCUAUAAGACUGGAAUAACUCCGGGAAACCGGGGCUAAUGCCGGAUAACAUGUUGGACCGCAUGGUCCUACAGUGAAAGACGGUCUUGCUGUCACUUAUAGGUGGACCCGCGCCGUAUUAGCUAGUUGGUAAGGUAACGGCUUACCAAGGCAACGAUACGUAGCCGACCUGAGAGGGUGAUCGGCCACACUGGAACUGAGACACGGUCCAGACUCCUACGGGAGGCAGCAGUAGGGAAUCUUCCGCAAUGGGCGAAAGCCUGACGGAGCAACGCCGCGUGAGUGAUGAAGGCCUUCGGGUCGUAAACGUACUGUUAUUAGGUAAGAACGAAACGUAGUAAGUAACGUAUAGCACGUCUUGACGGUACCGUAAUCAGAAGACCACGGCUAACUACGUA